AUCCACAAUCAACUGUUUUCAGGUGUUGCCGACUGUAGUCCUUGACUGUGACUAUCACCAGCCCCAUUCAACCUUCACACUAUGAUGAAUGCCUUUCUGCAGAUAAGUAACUAGUUCUGACAAAAAGGGGAACAUGUUGAGACUUCCUGUCACUUAUCAGUCUUCAAGGACUCGUGACAGCUGUGAAGAUCACUUCUGGUUCCUCAUUCAGGGGAACAAAACCCCCCACUUACUGCCACAGUAAAUAACAUAACAUGGAGCUGCAGAAAUGCCGUGCCACUGUGCCCAUCACAGAUGAUUAACACAACAGUCAUGGCAAAGAUCAAAGAACCUGUGUUCAACGGGAAAAAAGGCCACAAAGUCAUCUUUAAAGAAAAAGGAAGAGAGUAGUAGCCUGGUCUUCUAGUUUCAGUUUCUUUCAAAGCAGAGAACUACAGAUCUUGGGUAGGUUAGGAAGUCAUUCUGUGUGUAGGUAUAUGCACUUGUGCCUGUGCCAACAUACACACGAAUAUAGUCUUGCAUAAAAUACACAUACAUUUAACACAUUAAUGCA
rnacentral:lncRNA from 1 species